GAAUAUUGAGCAAUGGGCGCAAGCCUGACUCAGCAACGCCGCGUGGAUGAAGAAGGCCUUCGGGUUGUAAAAUCCUUUUCUGCGGGACGAUGAUGACGGUACCGCAGGAAUAAGUUCCGGCUAACUACGUGCCAGCAGCCGCGGUAAAACGUAGGGGACAAGCGUUAUCCGGAUUUACUGGGCGUAAAGCGCCCGUAGGCGGCCUGAUAAGUUGGAUGUGAAAGCUCCUGGCUUAACUGGGAGAGGUCAUUCAAAACUGUCAGGCUAGAGGCUGGAAGAGGAGUGUGGAAUUCCCGGUGUAGUGGUGGAAUGCGUAGAGAUCGGGAGGAACACCAGUGGCGAAAGCGGCACUCUGGUUCAGGCCUGACGCUGAGGGGCGAAAGCGUGGGGAGCGAACGGG
rnacentral:rRNA from 1 species